rnacentral:lncRNA from 1 species
CUUCUAUACGGGUCCCUUUUGGGGUGGUUAUGGGGUCGUUAUGGGGUCGGUUUGUGGUUCAGGCUCCAAUUACUACGUGCGCAUCCUGAGCACCAUCGACCGGGAGCUGCUGAAGCCCAACGCGUCGGUCGCCCUCCAUAAGCACAGCAAUGCGCUGGUGGACGUUCUGCCGCCCGAGGCCGACAGCAGCAUCAUGAUGCUCAGCUCCGGUCUGCGCCGCGUGCGGGCCCUGCGCCGC